GUCCACGCCGUAAACGAUGAGUACUGGGUGUCGCGGGUAGUUGACCCCUGCGGUGCCGUAGCUAACGCGUUAAGUACUCCGCCUGGGGAUUACGGUCGCAAGAUUAAAACUCAAAGGAAUUGACGGGGGCCCCGCACAAGCGGUGGAGCAUGUGGUUUAAUUCGACGCAACGCGAAGAACCUUACCUGGGCUAGACAACGGUGGACCGUCCUAGAGAUAGGACUUUCCCUUCGGGGACUGCCGGUUCAGGUGCUGCAUGGCUGUCGU
rnacentral:rRNA from 1 species